UGAGGAAUAUUGGACAAUGGGCGCAAGCCUGAUCCAGCCAUGCCGCGUGAGUGAAGAAGGCCUUCGGGUUGUAAAGCUCUUUUACCAGGGACGAUAAUGACGGUACCUGGAGAAUAAGCCCCGGCAAACUUCGUGCCAGCAGCCGCGGUAAUGCGAAGGGGGCUAGCGUUGUUCGGAAUUACUGGGCGUAAAGGGUGCGUAGGCGGUCAGAUGUGUUAGGUGUGAAAGCCCGGGGCUUAACUCCAGAAUUGCGCCUAAAACUAUCUGACUCGAGCCUCGGAGAGGCAAGCGGAAUUCCUAGUGUAGCAGUGAAAUGCGUAGAUAUUAGGGGGAACACCAAAGGCGAAGGCAGCGCACUGGCCAAAAUCUGACGCUCACACACGAAAGCUAGGGUAGCGAAGAGGAUUAGAUACCCACGUAGUCCCUGAGCGGGCUGGCAAGGCGCAU
rnacentral:rRNA from 1 species